rnacentral:rRNA from 1 species
CGGGAAAAGCUCAAAUUUAAAAUCUGGCGGUCUCCGGCCGUCCGAGUUGUAAUCUGGAGAAGCGUUUUCCGCGUUGGACCGUGUUCAAGUCUUCUGGAAUGGAGCGUCAUAGAGGGUGAGAAUCCCGUCUUUGGUGCGGACUCCCAGUGCUUUGUGGUGUGCUCUCGA